ACAGGUGCUGCAUGGCUGUCGUCAGCUCGUCGUCGUGAGAUGUUGGGUUAAGUCCCGUAACGAGCGCAACCCUUGUCCUUAGUUACCAGCACGUUAUGGUGGGCACUCUAAGGAGACUACCGGUGACAAACCGGAGGAAGGUGGGGAUGACGUCAAGUCAUCAUGGCCCUUACGGCCUGGGCUACACACGUGCUACAAUGGUCGGUACAAAGGGUUGCCAAGCCGCGAGGUGGAGCUAAUCCCAUAAAACCGAUCGUAGUCCGGAUCGCAGUCUGCAACUCGACUGCGUGAAGUCGGAAUCGCUAGUAAUCGUGAAUCAGAAUGUCACGGUGAAUACGUUCCCGGGCCUU
rnacentral:rRNA from 1 species